CAGCAGCCGCGGUAAAACGAAGGGUGCAAGCGUUACUCGGAAUUACUGGGCGUAAAGCGUGCGUAGGUGGUUGUUUAAGUCUGCUGUGAAAGCCCUGGGCUCAACCUGGGAAUUGCAGUGGAUACUGGGCGACUAGAGUAAGGUAGAGGAUAGUGGAAUUUCCGGUGUAGCAGUGAAAUGCGUAGAGAUCGGAAGGAACAUCUGUGGCGAAGGCGACUAUCUGGGCCAUUACUGACACUGAGGCACGAAAGCGUGGGGAGCAAACAGGAUUAGAUACCCCUGUAGUCCCUGUCUCUUAUAC
rnacentral:rRNA from 1 species